rnacentral:lncRNA from 1 species
AGCGAGCUGAGGAGGGUCUCUGCAGGUUCGCCGCCGCCGCCUAGAGCGCCGGGCCCUGCGGCUGAGGGGUUCGCGGACACCGCCCCCAAGGAGCCAGGCGAGGGAAGACGCGGGUGACCUUGGGUGAGGCCCCGCGAAGAGGCGGCGCCUGAACUUACGACCUUGGCUUCUCGGAGCCGAGGGACUGGAGUACACGUCUAGGAGAUUCCAUCUGAGGCGGGAAAUAAAGACAGAGGGCGGAAAUAAGGGGGAUCCCUUCGGACGUGCGUGUGGGACGUCAGGGCGCCGGUGGACAUUCCGCCUGGAGCUCAUUAGAGUCAGCGAGGCCAGUUACAGACCCUGGGAAUCGUUAAGCGAGAGCGAGCCGUUGAAAUCCUAAGCAUGAUGAAGAUCAGUAAGGUCUGUCACUGACCCACCUCCAACUGGCCUAAGGAAGAGGGGAAUCUUGGCUGAAACCAUUGAAAAGAACAGAUCGAGCUUCUUCAGCAACAGCCGAGUAAAAGAGACAAAAGAUGUGAGGAACCGUGUUUCACUUUCUCUGAGCUCUGCCUUCAUUCGCAGGCAGGCCUAUCUCCGUGGCAAAAUGGCUUUCCAUGGCUCCAAACUGAAUUCCUAAUAGCUUAGCAACUCACGUGGAAGGAACGUGCCCCUUUCCAAGAUUUGCCAAAAAAUUUCCAGAACUGACCUUAGCUGAUUUGCUUCCAUCAAAUGCUCAUCCUGGAACACAAGAGACGGGGGAUGAGUAAAUGCCCUGACUCACACAAGGAUGUUUGGUCAAGGCUGAGGCUGCCAGAUGGAAUUGGAAAACUUCCUUGCGGAGGGCAGGUUCUGGCCUAUCCAGCCUUAGUCCCCCACCUCUCCCCAGUGUUCUAAGCAGUCUAACAUCAGCUCACAGGUGGCCUUUGCUAAGGUCCUCAUCACCAUCUUCGUCCAUCCGUCUUCCCAGUUCAGAGGAAGAUAUCAAUGGAAAAGACUCUAGUUCUGUGGUCACCUCCCUCGUCCCUGAAACCCUUCCACACCCUCUCUCUCUAGUUUCUAGUUUCUGUAGUCUCUGUAGUUUCUGCCCACUGUCUCCAGGAGAGGGACACAGUUGAGGAAUACAGAAAAGCAAGGGUCUGGUGAUGAUGAGUUAGGUUUGGAAAUGUGUCUAAGCUGUCCAGUAAGACUUUCUGCCAUGAUGGAUGUUCUGUAUCAGCACUAUCCAGUGUGAUAGCCUGGAUCUAUUGAGUAGCUGUUGAGCACUUGAAAUGUGGCUAGUGAGACUAGGGAACAAUUUAAGUUUUAAUUAAAAUAGCCACAUGUGGCUAAUGACUAUUAGUGUAGGGGUGUCUGCGGACAGCUAGGUGGAGCUGUCCAGCAGAGAUGGAGCUACAGUUUGAUAAAGCAUAAAGCAGUUUGGUGAUAAUCAGAAGUGAGGAGCAGCUGAAGGUAUGGACAUGAGUGCCUGUCCAGGCAAUAUCUAUAGAGAAUAGCACCCAGGACCUAGCUGUGGAAAACAAGCCACGUUUAUUAGGUAGGCAGUGAAAGAGUAGAAAGUACUCAGAUGAUCUCUUGGGCCAGGUUUCCCAGAAGCAGACCUUGAGAUGAGGAUUUAUGUGUGAGUGAUUUAGUCAAACAAUGCUACUAGAAGAAACCCGUAAGGAGAGAAGCAGGAGAGGGUAGGAGAGAAAAAACAAACAUGAUCUCAGGCAGAGAGUAGUUCAACUUGAUCCUGCAGAGGAGCUUGAUGAACGUUAUUUGUCAGAUUUGUCCAGAGCGGGGCCUUUCAUAUACCAACAUGCCUCAGCCGUUGACCAAGGAAUACUCCUAGAGACAUCAGUUCAUCAAGACAACGCCUCCAGUGGCCUGGGGACAUUGCUCCAAAAAAGAAAAAAAUCUGGACAUUCUAACUGUUGGAAGAGAAACCACACAACAAAGAUCAGGGGGUGUGGGAAUAUAGAAUGUGUGUGUCCGUGUGUGUGUGUGUGCAGUUGGUCAGAUACAUCACAAGCAAAUGAUUAGAAAGGUAUCCAUGGCACUGCCAUUGUCUCCUAUGGAAAACAUUGAUGACUAAUGAUGUGGGGCCAUGGGUGAAUGGUCGAGAAAGAAUUCUUGAGGUGUUUUUGGUGCAAAAAGGUGCUUUUAUUAUAGCAUAGGGACAAGACCUGUGGGUAGAAAGAGCUGCAUUUUGCCCUAUGAAGCUGGUGGUUAUAUGCUUAGUGUUCAGGGGGAGGAGACAUGUAGGGAGAUCAUAAAUGUUUUCUUCCAAUUUCUACUCGUAACUACUUUCGCAAGAUUUCUCUGGUGCUUAUCAGUCAGUUGGAUAUUAACUAUCAGUGAGAUGUACAGACAGUCACAAGACCCUUUAAGAAUGUAGCAGCCAGCACGUAGUUGAUCCUUGUCAGGGCUAUGCAGGGGUUAGGUCAGCCUUCCGGGCUAAAGGUGAAUAUUUUUCUACUUCUAUCCCUCAUCACCUAAGACGGCAUAGGGGCUUUAGUGAGAGUAAUUUUAGGUAAGUGGGAAAAGCAGAAGCCAAAUGGUAGUGGAUUGAGGAAUUAAUGGAAGUGAAGAAAUGGGAGGAGGAAUAUUGAGAGCUGUCCCCAGGGAGACUUGAUCAUGUGGAAAGUCUAAAGAGAGGGAUGCCUGGGUGGCUCAGUGGUUGAGCAUCUGCCUUCAGCUCAGGGUGUGAUCCCAGGGUGCUGGGAUUGAGUCCUGCAUCCAGCUCCCCACAGGGAGCCUGCUUCUCCCUCUGCCUGUGUCUCCGCCUCUCUUUGUGUGUCUCUCUUGAAUAAACUUUUCAAAAACAGGGCAGUACGGGUGGCUCAGUGAUUUAGCGCCACCUUCAGUCCAGGGCCUGAUCCUGGAGACCUGGGAUCUCAGGUCCGGCUCCCUGCAUGGAGCCUGCUUCUCCCUCUGCCUGUGUCUCUGCCUCUCUCUCUGUGUGUCUCUCAUGAAUAAAUAAAUAAAAUCUUAAAAAAAAAAAAAAAGAAAGAAACCUUUUCAAAAACAAAAACAGUCUAAAGGGAAAGGAGCCAGUAGAAAUGACAGUAAUAGGGGAUCCCUGGGUGGCGCAGCGGUUUAGCGCCUGCCUUUGGCCCAGGGCGCGAUCCUGGAGACCUGGGAUCGAAUCCCAUAUCAGGCUCCCGGUGCAUGGAGCCUGCUUCUCCCUCUCCCUGUGUCUCUGCCCCUGUCUCUCUCUCUCUGUGUGUGUGUGUGACUAUCAUAAAUAAAUAAAAAUCUUAAAAAAAAAAAAAAA